rnacentral:misc_RNA from 1 species
UACGAAGGCCCCAAGCGUUAUCCGGAAUUAUUGGGCGUAAAGCGUCCGCAGGCGGUCUGAAGGGUAGGAUGUUAAAUCAUAGGGCUCAACCCUGUGGCCGCAUCCUAAACCGUCAGACUAGAGGAUGGGAGAGGCACCUGGAAUUGUCGGUGUAGUAGUAAAAUGCGUUAAUAUCGACAGGAACACCAAAUGCGAAGGCAUGGUGCUGGAACAUUCCUGACGCUCAGGGACGAAAGCGUGGGGAGCGAAUCGG